rnacentral:rRNA from 1 species
GAUGAACGCUAGCGGCAGGCUUAACACAUGCAAGCCGUGGGGUAACAACGGACUUCGGUCUGGUUGACGACCGGCGGACGGGUGAGUAACACGUAUGGCACCUGCCUCUUGCAAGGGGAUAGGCCGGGGAAACCCGGAUUAAUACCCUAUAGGAUACAUUGAUUGCCUGAUUGAUGUAUGAAAGCUACGGCGGCAAGAGAUGGCCAUGCGGGAUAUUAGGUAGUUGGUAAGGUAAAGGCUUACCAAGCCGACGAUGUCUAUGGGUUCUAGAAGGAAGGUCCCACACACUGGUACUGAGACACGGACCAGACUCCUACGGGAGGCAGCAGUGAGGAAUAUUGGUCAAUGGGCGGAAGCCUGAACCAGCCAUGCCGCGUGCAGGAAGACGUCCCUUAGGGAUGUAAACUGCUUUUCUACGGGAAGAAAGGUACUGUUUUGUACAGUGCUUGCCGGUACUGUAUGAAAAAGCACCGGCUAACUCCGUGCCAGCAGUCGCGGUAAUACGGAGGGUGCAAGCGUUAUCCGGAUUCAUUAGGUUUAAAGGGUGCGUAGGCUGUUAUACAAGUCGCCGGUGAAAGUCACAAGCUCAACUUGUGAAUUGCCGGUGAAACUGUAUAACUUGAGACAAGACGUUGCAGGCGGAAUGUAAGGAGUAGCGGUGAAAUGCAUAGAUACCUUACAGAAGGCCGAUUGCGCAGGCAGCUUGCAAGACUUGUACUGACGCUGAUGCACGAAAGCUUGGGUAGCGAACAGGAUUAGAUACCCUGGUAGUCCAGGCUGUAAACGAUGCUCACUGGUUGUUUGCGAUAUAGUGUAAGCGACUGAGCGAAAGCAUUAAGUGAGCCACCUGGGGAGUACGUCGGCAACGAUGAAACUCAAAGGAAUUGACGGGGGCCCGCACAAGCGGAGGAACAUGUGGUUUAAUUCGAUGAUACGCGAGGAACCUUACCUGGGCUUGAACUAUAAGUGCUGUUACCAGAAAUGGUAAUUUCCGCAAGGACACUUAAAGAGGUGCUGCAUGGCUGUCGUCAGCUCGUGCCGUGAGGUGUCGGGUUAAGUCCCAUAACGAGCGCAACCCCUAUUGCUAAUUGCCAUCACGUAAAGGUGGGGACAUUAGUGAGACUGCCACCGUAAGGUGAGAGGAAGGUGGGGAUGACGUCAAGUCAGCACGGCCCUUAUGUCCAGGGCUACACACGUGUUACAAUGGCCGGGACAACGGGCAGCGACACUGUAAAGUGGAGCGAAUCCCCAAACCCGGUCGUAGUUCGGAUCGUAUUCUGCAACUCGAAUGCGUGAAGCUGGAUUCGCUAGUAAUCGCGCAUCAGCCAUGGCGCGGUGAAUACGUUCCCGGGCCUUGUACACACCGCCCGUCAAGCCAUGGGAGCUGGGGUUACCUGAAGUCCGUAACCGCGAGGAGCGGCCUAGGGUAAGUCCAGUGACUGGGGC